AGGGCAUACGGUGGAUGCCUAGGCGCCAAGAGCCGAAGAAGGACGCGGUAAGCUGCGAAAAGCCACGGGGAACUGCAAGCAAGUAUUGAUCCGUGGAUAUCCGAAUGGGGAAACCCGGCCAUCGUCAUGGAUGGUCACCCGCAAGGGAGGGAACCUGGGGAACUGAAACAUCUAAGUACCCGGAGGAAGAGAAAUCAAACGAGAUGCCCACAGUAGCGGCGAGCGAAGAGGGCAGAGCCCAAACCGAGAAGCUCCGGCUUUUCGGGGUUGAGGACCGGCAGAAUCGAAGUCAGGCCUAGUCGAAUUACCUGGAAAGGUAAGCGAGAGAGGGUAAAAGCCCCGUAGACGAAAGGCAGAGCAGAGAGGCCGAGAUCCAGAGUACCACGAAGCACGAGGAAUUUUGUGGGAAGCAGGGGGGACCACCCUCCAAGGCUAAAAACUACUUGGCGACCGAUAGCGCAUAGUACCGUGAGGGAAAGGUGAAAAGAACCCCGGGAGGGGAGUGAAAUAGUACCUGAAACCGUAUGUCUACAAGCAGUCGAAGCGAAAGCGACGGCGUGCCUAUUGAAGAAUGAACCAACGAGUUAUCUGCACUAGCGAGGUUAAGUGGAAGACACGGAGCCGCAGCGAAAGCGAGUCUUAAGAGGGCGCUAGUUAGUGUAGGUAGACCCGAAACCGCAGUGAUCUACCCAUGUCCAGGUUGAAGCGCAGGUAAAAUUGCGUGGAGGACCGAACCGGUGAGCGUUGAAAAGCUUUCGGAUGAGAUGUGGGUAGGGGUGAAAUUCCAAUCGAACGCGGAGAUAGCUGGUUCUCCCCGAAAUAGCUUUAGGGCUAGCCUGAGGUAGUAAGUAUAGGCGGUAGAGCACUGAUCGGGCUAGGGGCCGUAAAGGUUACCGAACCCUGUCAAACUCCGAAUGGAUAUACUGUAGAGCCUUGGAGUCAGACUACGAGUGAUAAGAUCCGUGGUCAAAAGGGAAACAGCCCAGACCACCAGCUAAGGUCCCCAAUGUCGUACUAAGUGGAAAAGGAUGUGGGGUUUCAUAAACAACCAGGAUGUUGGCUCAGAAGCAGCCACCAUUUAAAGAGUGCGUAAUAGCUCACUGGUCGAGAGACCCUGCGCCGAAGAUUCCCGGGGCUAAAGUACGAAACCGAAGCUGUGGCUGUAUACGUAAAGUAUACGGGGUAGGGGAGCGUUCCCAUAGGGUAGAAGUCGAACUGGAAGGUUCGGUGGACUUGUGGGAAGUGAGAAUGUUGGUAUGAGUAGCGAAAAGAAAGGUGAGAAUCCUUUCCACCGAAAGCAUAAGGAUUCCUGAGCAACGAUCGUCGUCUCAGGGUAAGUCGGGACCUAAUCCGAGGCAGAGAGCGUAGGAGAUGGACAACUGGUUGAUAUUCCAGUACCGGUAGUAAUUGUUUGAGCAAUGGAGUGACACAGAAGGGCAGGCAAGCAUGCGAAUGGAAGAGCAUGUGUAAGCGUGUAGGGUGGUGCAUAGGCAAAUCCGUGCACUGAAAGCCUGAGGCGUGAUGCGGAGUGAGCAGAGAUGCGAGCGAAGUUGUUGACCCCACACUGUCGAGAAAAGCUUCUAGUGAGAGAGCUACCGCCCGUACCGUAAACCGACACAGGUAUGCGGGGAGAGAAUCCUAAGGUGCGCGGGAGAACCCUCGUUAAGGAACUCGGCAAAAUGUACCCGUAACUUCGGGAUAAGGGUAGCCACUGUUGUGAAGUCCCAUGCGGAUGGAGCAUAGAGUGGUCGCAGAGAAGAGGCCCAAGCGACUGUUUACCAUAAACACAGGUGCCUGCUAAAGCGAAAGCUGACGUAUAGGUGCUGACACCUGCCCAGUGCCGGAAGGUUAAGGAAGGAUGUUCGGAUUAGUCCAAAGCAUUCGACUGAAGCCCCGGUGAACGGCGGCCGUAACUAUAACGGUCCUAAGGUAGCGAAAUUCCUUGUCGGGUAAGUUCCGACCCGCACGAAAGGUGUAACGAUUUGGGCACUGUCUCAACGAGGGACCCGGUGAAAUUGAAAUACCUGUGAAGAUGCAGGUUACCCGCGACUGGACAGAAAGACCCCAUGGAGCUUUACUGUAACCUGACAUUGGGUUUUGAUACAUUACGUACAGGAUAGGUGGGAGGCUUGGAAAGUUGGACGCUAGUCUGACUGGAGCCGACGUUGGGAUACCACCCUUGAUGUAUUGAAAUUCUAACCGCGAGAGUAACGAAAUCCGGGACAGUGUCAGGCGGGCAGUUUGACUGGGGCGGUCGCCUCCGAAAGAG
rnacentral:rRNA from 1 species